GGGGGAUGAAGGGAGAGCUUGAGAUACAGAAGCUGAGAGAGUUCUUUGCGGAGCUGCUUUUCAGCAGAGACCUGCAGCAUCAGAAAGAGCCAGUGAGCUGGUGACCUGGGAAAAGAGAGUUGCAGGCAAAGGGAACGGCCAGUGCAGAGGCCGUGGGGUAAGAAUAACCUUGGUGUGCUCCAGGGACAGAAAGAAGACCAGGGCACCCAGUCCACUGAGUGGAAGGAAGAGAAAUAUGCCAAGGGUGGAAAGCCGCCGUGUAAGAAGUACCUUUCACCUUCCACCAUGAUUGUGAGGCCUCCCCAGCCACGUGGAAAUGGCAGGUGCAGAGGAUCCAGCAUGUUAUUCUGAAACCCCAGAAGACGCUGCAGCUACCAAAUAGAAGGAGCCUGGAUCCCUGAAUGUCUUCAUGGAACAGAACAUUCUCCUCACUCCAGUCUGUUUGAACCAGAAUAUGACCUGAGCAAGAAAUAAGCCUUAAUUAUAUUUGACCAUAGAAUUCUGGUGAUAUUUCUAUGGCUGUAAGUCCAUGUUGAUUAAUACAAAGGGAUGCUGUAAAGCCUCUUCUAUUAAAAAAAGUUGCCCAAGGAGUGAAAGGAGAGAUAUUUUCUGUAAUUAAGAUUUUCAUAAUACAUAGAACAGGCUAUAGCACCUGGCAAUCAAUCAUAUGGGGUACAACAGAAAGAGGAAACAUUCCUGCUAUUAAAUUAACCAAACUGGAGUUCUUGUUAUAUAAUAUAGUAAAAUUUCCUCAAUCUUUCAGCCACCUUUAGUUCUGUAAUCUAUUAUUUCUGGGUAAAAGCAUACCAUUUGAUACACAAUCCAAACCCAAUUCUUAAUUAAUAACGUGUAUCCACUGUAUCUUACCACAUCCCAAAUCAUCUAAUACUUAACCACCUAGUUUCUAUGUUCCACUUACAUCAAACAUAUUCAUGUUUGGAAAAUUGAGCCAGCAUCUACUGCCUUAUCAGCUGAUGCAUAACAAUUUACUUUGUCUGUGCUCUAUAAUAAUGCAAGUCUGCUUGGAAAGAUAACACGUUAAAGGGUUAUCAGACCCUAACACCUUCGUAUAGAUGAAUUUAUCAGAUCCUCUGCUAAACCACUUUCGAAUCCUUGGCCAGUUCUCUACAUUUCAUGAAGAGUUAGCAUAGCCAGUCCAGGAGAUAUUAUCUUCAGGAUGUGGUCAGUUGUGGAAAGGAAGAUAGCUCUGAGGAUCUCUUUCCAGGGAAAAGAAAGACAUGAGGAUUGCUCCAAAGAUCCUCUUUCUGGGGGAAAACGCACAUACUACAG
rnacentral:lncRNA from 10 species